rnacentral:snRNA from 1 species
GUGCUCACCUCGGCAGCACGUAUACUGAAAUCGGAACGAUACAGAGAAGACUGGCGCGGCCCUGCGCGGGGACGACACGCGGAUUCGUGACGCGUCCCAUGUUUUU